UGACAGCACCCAGCAUCGAAAAAACCCCUCUGUUGAACUGAGUGCAAACUGUAAUGAAAGUAAAUAAACUUUGGUGUAGGCUUUAUAAAUUAAAAUCAUGACAAAGACAGUUUGCUUCGACCUUCCACUCAGACAUUCACUAGAUAUCAAAAGAGGCAGUGCAUGUUCCUAAACAAGUUUUCCCAUGUUGAUUGUGCCAGUCGAUCUUAAAGGAGGUCAUAUUUUAGUCAUUUCCUUAGACCCAGCACUCAACUUCUUGAGACACCCAGAAAUACAUUUUUACUGUUCUGCAAUGUCAUUGCAGUCUACAUUCUAUAUUACGAAACUCAGUAUUGCAACUGUUAAAACAUAGAAGCCAUUCCGAGAGUUGACGACACGCCGUGGGUAGGUGCAACAGUAGCUGCGCGUGGUGCUCGGGGUCUGCGGUUGUCACUCAGGCGAGCACUCUGACAUGGACAAAGAAAACGAAGCGGGCUCUAACAGAUUCCAACAGUUCUAUCUAAAUAGAUAACUCCCUUCUGGACUCUGGAAGUCCUUGAAACGAAAUUGGAUUUGAAAGUUUGCUUCUACUAAGUCCUGGCUUUGCAUCUUGCAUCUCGAGACUCGAAACAAACUUACGAAGUUGGCCUUUCCUCUAAAGGUAGUAAAAGGAUUUCUG